GAGUUUGAUCUUGGCUCAGGAUGAACGCUGGCGGCGUGCUUAACACAUGCAAGUCGAACGAAGCGCCUUAUUUGAUUUUCUUCGGAACUGAAGAUUUGGUGACUGAGUGGCGGACGGGUGAGUAACGCGUGGGUAACCUGCCCUGUACAGGGGGAUAACAAUCAGAAAUGACUGCUAAUACCGCAUAAGACCACAGCACCGCAUGGUGCAGGGGUAAAAACUCCGGUGGUACAGGAUGGACCCGCGUCUGAUUAGCUGGUUGGUGAGGUAACGGCUCACCAAGGCGACGAUCAGUAGCCGGCUUGAGAGAGUGAACGGCCACAUUGGGACUGAGACACGGCCCAAACUCCUACGGGAGGCAGCAGUGGGGAAUAUUGCACAAUGGGGGAAACCCUGAUGCAGCAACGCCGCGUGAGUGAAGAGUAUUUCGGUAUGUAAAGCUCUAUCAGCAGGGAAGAAGUGACGGUACUGACUAAGACGCCCGGCUAACUACGUGCCAGCAGCCGCCGC
rnacentral:rRNA from 1 species